AGCGGCCGCCUCUUACGCGCGCCCCACCGGCCAAAAUGGCGGCGGCCUUUGGCGGGGAUUCCGGUUUGUAAGGGCCGUUGUUUUACUCUUCCCGUGACAAAAUGUGAAAGAAGUGACUGGUGGAGGGGGGUCGCAAGUCAUGAGUCGACGAAGGAAAUAUGGGGACAGUCCUGCCCCGAAGAACACGCCGCUCAAAACAGCGGCGGCUGAGGACUGCGGCUCGGUGGUCGAACCCAGGAGGAGGCGGCUGAAGUCGGCCCGCGGCUCCCGGUCCCGCGUGGCUGGAGAGGGCCCUGGCCCACCAGUGCGGCAGCGAGAGCAGCGUCCAGCAGCCGCUGGGUGCAGUAAAAGUACCCCCAAGGAAAGAUAUGAGACACCAACAAGAAUGCUGAAAAUGGACUUGUCUUCUACAUUCAGUUCUCCUAAUGAUCCAGAUGGACAGAAUGAUAUCUUUUGGGAUCAGAAUUCUCCAAUGACAAAACAGUUAGGUAAAGGAAGAAAAAAACAGAUUUACACCACAGAUAGUGAUGAGAUUUCACAUAUUGUUAAUCGAAUUGCUCCUCAGGAUGAAAAACCAACAGCAAACUCCAUGUUGGGCGUGUGGAUUGGUGCAAGUGCUAUUCCUUGUACUCCCAGUGUAGCAAAAGGAAAAUCAAGAGUAAAAUUCAGCUGUACAAAGCUCAAAACACAAAAUCGAGAAAAAGAACUUAUGAAAUUGGCUAAACAAUUUGAUAAAAAUAUGGAAGAAUUAGAUGUAAUUCAAGAACAAAACAAAAGGAAUCAUGAUUUUAUGCAGACAAUUUCAGGAACAGAGACUUUAAAUAAUUAUAAAGAUAAUGAACAGAUGCAGUUAUUAUGUGAUAUAAUUCCUGAAAUCAAUAAUGCUAUAAUAAAGAAGCCACUGAAAGUAAACACCAGGAUAUCUGUGGUAGAAAAUCAAAACAGCAGUCAGAAGUCAGUUGACGAAAAUGCUGAAGCAGACUUUAAUGCCAUUUUUGAUGGUUCUACCCAGAAAUGUAGUGGACGGUUAAGCCAAGACUUGUCAGAUGCCAGUUUGAAUACAAGUAAUACUAUGGUUGGAAAGAAAAGUGCUUUGAAAGCGGAGAAAGUCAUUACUAUUGAAACUCUGGUCAAUGAAAAGCUGCCAAAUAAAAGCACAGGAUCACUUUCUGAACUAGAUACUCCCAUAACAACAAAAUCAUGUGUGACUACCUGUUUCAUGGAGCCAGAAACUUCUAGUGAGCACAUUGAUGCAUUUACUACCAGUGAUUUUGAAGAUGAUUGGGGAAGCUUACUAGAUAAUGAACCUUUUGUUAUGCAAAAUCUUGAAAGGCCUGAAUUCCCUGUUCUAAAAAGUGCCCAGGUUACUAAUCAAAAGGAAGUUUGUGUCUUUAUUAGUAAAAAUAGUAAAAGUAAGUCAAGAACCAAUACAGGUAUACAUGAUCUGUUAAGAGAUUCAAAAAUAUUGCAAAACCUUCCUUCCAAGACACAUAGUGGAGAAUUAAUAGAUUCUGGAAAACAUAGAGUUUCACCAGAUCUAAAUGUUAAAUCAAGCAAAUUGCCAUCCACUGGAAAUAAAAUGAAAUUUGAAAACUCUUUCAAUGAAACUGUUGUUGAAGACAAAUUUCAAGAUUGUACAGUUACAUGUAAUCUGACAAAAGUAAAGGAAGAUAGUGAUACUAAAUUUACUUCUAAUGUCAAUCCCUCUGAAAAGAAAUUUGCUUUAAAUAGAAGAUACUCUAAUGAACAAGAAACCAGCAUUACUAACACACAUCAAGCUAAUGCAUCAAAGAUUGUUUCUUUCUUUGAUGACUGGAAUGAUCCAUCAUUUGCCAAUGAAAUUAUUAAGACAUGUCAUCAAUUGGAGAAUACCUGGGAAUCAGAUGAUGUAGAUGAUGAUAUGUUAUACCAAGCAUGUGAUGAUAUUGAAAGACUAACUCAGCAGCAAGAUAUUAGGAAGAAUAGCAAGACAACAGAAAGUAUACUUGAGAUCAAUAACAGUUCUAAACAUGGAACCAGAAACUGCUUUAGUACAUCUAAAGGAAAUCAGGUGGUACAAUCAAAGCAUUUAAAUCUGGGCAGCAUUUCAUUGCAAACAUCUUCCUUGACAAGUAGCUCACAGAUAAAUAAAUCAAUAAAGGUGGACAGAGGGGAAAUGUAUAGAAAUUCUCCAAGUUUUUUAAACAUCACAACAAAUUUGACAAUGAACUCAAAUCUUCAGACAAGUAAUUUGCGUGUCUCUGGGAAUAACACUGCUGUACCAAUACCAAUGAAUAGUUUCAAAUCAGUUUUACCCAGAAGUUCAACACUGAAUGUGAUUUCAAAUCCUGUGACUACAGAAGUUUCUACUUAUAAGAAAAAUGCUCAACAACUGUCUACUAUGACCAUUAUGGAUGAGCCCCAGAACAACUUUAAUGAGACCGUUAGAUUUUCAAAAUACACAUUUACAAGGAUGAAAAAUUCUCAGAUUCUUUCUCAGUUUAACAGAAGUUGUAUGGCAGGAAGUGUGUCUGAUACCAAAAUUACACAAGGAUCAGAGAAAAAGAAAGCUGUCAGUCCAUUAUUGGGGGAACCAGAUCAACAACAAUCUUUGGUGAAAUAUUCUGAAUCUUUGAGACAAUCUUCAAAAGAGGAAAAUGAGAAAAACAGAAAGUAUUCUCCUGAAGAAAUUCAGAAAAAAAGACAAGAAGCACUGGUUCGAAGAAUGACCAAAGCACAGGCAUCAUCUAAGUCUAACCAGAGGACAUAAGGAAGAUUCCAAGGAACAUAAAGUCUAUAGGGAAGUCUGCAGAAGUGGAAGCAAACACAACCCAAUAUAAAAUGCUAUAAUGGAACCAAUUCAACAGUACUAACUUGGUCUGGUGUUGGAGGGACUGGUAAGGAAUGGUUCUCAGCAGAACUGUCAUCUGAGGUAAGCUUAACUGAAGAAUGAGAAGAAAUUCUCAAAAGAAGAAGGGAGGAAAGUAUGUUCCCAAGUACUCCCCUCACCUGAAAACAUCAAAGAGAUGCAUUUUUAGCAGAAUAUGCCUGACAUGAAGAUCAUGAGGUGUCUGAAGGGCCUAAAUCACAUGUGACUGUGAAGACAGGGACAGGCUCUGGCUCCUGACUCCAGCUUCCUGACAGUACAGAUGCUGGGAGGCAGCAGUGGUGGCUCAAAGAAUUGGGUUCCUGCUUCCUAUGUGGGAGAUCUGAACUGUGUUCCUGGCUCCCAGCUCCAACCUUGGCCCAGGCCAGGCCAUUGAGGGCAUUUGAACACCCCACAAGGCCCUAAGGCAUCCAACACUCACAGCAGCCCAAGAAAGAGAAUCAACCUGCCUUCAGCUGCUGGCUACUCAUGGAAUAACAGAUUAUGAGCACAGCAGGAAGGGAAAGAGUUGCAAAACAGAGGAGCAAGGACUCACAGACCCACCACAGCAAGAGCCUUUCUGGAACUAUGAUGUGCCUGUCCUUAUGCUGACAAGUCAAAUACUAUCACAACUUUGAGCUAACAGUUGGGCCAGUACCACAUGAAGGUUAAGCAAAGAGGUAUAGGGUAUGACUAAUUCCAGAAGAUUCCUGGCUUACCUCAGUCAGUAAAAUAAUCUACAUAAAUAUACUUGCACUUCUGCAUGCUUCAACUUGUGCACUGGAGCUCUUCAAUGAGAAACCUGCUGAAGCUUGUCCCUUGGAUUCUUACUAUUAUGGGCUGCUGACCACUACCAGCUGACACCUUCUGCUGUCUACAGGGCAAUCCAGUUAUCACAGAAAACGGGUUUUCCCCACCAAAACCAGUCAUCCACACAAUGCAUACAUGGACAACUUUGCAGCUGUGAAGAACAGUGUAGAGGCAGAACCUGAAGACAGAAGAGGAAAGUAGAAUGGAUGCUGCAAGUUCUUAGAAAAUGACAAAAAGCAAUAUGCUCUUCAAGCCAUAUGCAAUUUUUCAAUGCUUAUUGAGGAUCAACCAGAGCGUUUGGAAGAAGGGAGAAAAAAAAAAAACACAGGGAGAGAUGCAUGUUUCUGGUGAGAGGAAUAUGAAUGAAAAUUGUGUUGGAACUCAUUCUUCACUGUUCUCAGAGGGAAGUCCAAGUCUGAAGUAUAAGGCAAGGUGGUGAAAAGGAAGAGAAGAGAUCAAAAGAUCACCAAUCAAUUGUCAAUGGGUAUGUAUUAAACGAUGUUCUUGGAGUGUACUAGCUACUGAGUAAAGAAACAACUUGGUAUUUGCACUCAGUCAUGAGCAUAGGACGGUUAUACAGAAUUGUUUGGGUAAUGGGGUAUUCUGAACUGAGUUUUAAAGACGCGUAAGUUUGGAGGAGGUAUGAAAGAAGAAAACAAUCCUACUCUGGAAUCAUGGGACCCAAGGGUUUGCAGAUGUUGAAUCUAAAACCUCUGGAGGAUCGUAACAGGAACCAACCUGCCCAGAGUGGAGAACGGAUUGAGGAGCGAGGGACAAGCGGGGCUGCCUUGAAUCACUGAACACUCUGGGUGAAGAGCUUUUCAAACUCUUCGAGUCUACCAGGAACUGGAGGAAAAACUUGAGCCUUUAAUGAGGAAGCAUUCUGACCUCACUCGUUUUAGAGAUGGGAUCAAUAAAGUAAGACAUGACUCACCCCUUUUGGUAAAUUCACAAAAUUAAAUACAGAUGAAAACUGUCUUUACAUACCCAUUUUAUUCAUUAUACAGACAAAAAUAACGAUCCUAAAAGUAGUAACAGCCAAAUAAUGCAAGGAUUCUGGAGACUUAUGCCACCAGCAUUUCUUUCAAAGGAACAAACUAGUCAUACAGAUACUGUGUGUCUGCACAAACAUUUUUCAAGAGGCAUUUCUACUUUCAAUUCACUUAAAGGGUUCAUGAAAUACAGAUACCCAACUAUGAAAAAAGUACACUAAUCAAACACUGGGAAACUUGGUGGGUCACUAGCUAGUCGCUGGCCUUGUAACAUUCUUUAUCUAUUAAUCUGGUAACAUGAACUAACAUCUCAAGCCUUUUUCCUAUUGCAUUACAAUUACUAGCCAAGUUCUGAUGAGUCAAGAUAAUCGCCUUUCAGUGUGUAACCUAACCUGCUUUGAACCUGUACAUGCACGUAUGGUACCUGUUUUACUGUUUCGCCAAAACCAGGACCACAUCCACAGAAGAAUGGAAACCUAAAGGACAUUUAUCAGAAACGACCAUUCUUCUAUUGUAGUCACUCUUUGUUGAAUGUCACAACCCACAGGCAUUUAGCAAAACAUAAAGAUUUAUCAACCAGUUCCUUUAUUCACGGUAACUUGGGUAUCCUGAUUUUUGCUUUGAUGCCAAGACGUCUUCCUUCAUUACGUUCCAUGGAUGAGUCAUUUGUGCUCUGUCUCCUACACAUGAGUUUUCUUAGGUUUGAGACCUUCUCUCUCCUGUAAAAUAUGAACUGUCAUGGGCUGUGUUCGGUCUAUUUAUCUCUGAAUUACUGCCCCUCACAUUAGAGUUUCCAUCAGUGGAACAGAGGGGCAGAGAUAGCUGUUUGUUUGCCCUGAGGAAACAAAUAUCUGAAGCUGAAAUGUUCUUAACAAACAGAGCUGAAGUUGAGCAAGGAGAGGUGCAGGGACAGUAACUAAGUGAAAUCAAGUGCGGAGCCGUGUAGUAGGUGACAAGCUCAGGCACCAUUGUUGCUGUUUAGCUCACUCGUGGCCCUGUGGCAUGGACUCCUGUCUCCAAAUAAACACAGGGUCAGGAGAAGACGAGAAUGAGAUCUGAUUUACUGAGUCCAACCAGCCCAAGACCCAUUUAGACAACAAUUGCCACUUUAUAGCUUCACCAUCUAAGGAGAUAUUUUUACGUGCAAAAAUGUUGGGUAAAAUAUAACCAAGGAUGCAUGUAAGGAGUGUGAAUAUAUCCUAUCCCACUGGGAAUUUUAAUCAACAUGUCUCCCCAAUUAUUGUUUAAGCUGAAUUUUUAACCAUUCAAAUGACUCAUCCAAUGCUGCUUAUGUACUGACUAGGGCAGUAUUUUUGUCUUUGGUGUUAAGACUUACCCUAAAUUGAAGUAAACCUGGCUAUGGAGAAGGUGCAAUUUAUGUUGCCUGCCACAUUCCGUGGUUGGGCAAGAUUUUCAGUUCAAGUCAUCCUCCCUCACUUCUGUUUCGCCCCAGGGAAAGGAGAUACACACGCAUUCAGUCCUGACAGGGCACCUAUUAUGAAGAUACAAAAGGAACAGCCGGCAAACUCCCUUUCCACUGAGCUUGUGCUACAGAGCUCCUCGUAUUUGCUUAUCUGGGAAGGGGGAAAAGAUCAUUUUAAAGUUAAAUUGCCUAGUGAACCCAUCUAUCAUUUGCAAAAAAGUAAUGAGCUGGAGCCGGAAGCCCAACUCCUCUUUUUCUCCCCCUUUCUCAUGGCUGAGAUGUAAGACAUAAAAAGCCAUUUUUCUCAAUGUGUGAUCAAACAGUGGAUUAAGACUUGCAAGGAGCCGGUGAUCAAUUGUCUGAUAAUAUGUGACAGAUCUUGUCAGAUUGACAAAAGUGUACCCCAACCCAAAGGGAGAGAAGGCUCUGAGCUGUGAAGGUGCUUUCUUAAGCAAUUGCCUGAGAAGCAGAGGCCCCUGUGAUGUCAAUUAUCUUCUGUAUCAACACCAAACAGGAUUUUUGCUGUGGAAGCUGCCAUCAUGGUUUGAUGAGAGUGAGUUAAUACUAAUUAGAUGCAUUUCAGUAAUCACUUAACUUUAAUUGGUUUUGUAUCUUAUUUUUCAAAGGAGGAAGGUAUAGACUUGUCCUAAUAUUUUACCAAAAAAAUGCACCACAAGACAUGAAGAGAAUUCCCCUCCUUUUCCCCCCACAUUCUGACAGGCUAAUAACAACCGCAUUAGGUGAUUAAAGAAUGUUUUUUAAGGUAGACAUAAAGAUAAACAGUAAUGACGUUGAAUAGCUGGGGGGCUCCUUGAUGGAUCCUCCACCUGAUGGCUGGCCCUGGGAUGUGGGCGAAGCUUCCAGCCUUCCUUUGGUUGUAGGAUCCACACGGAGCCUCAGACCCUCUCUGGGGGAGAGAGCGAAGAGGGACAACAAUGAGGAGGCUUUGUUUCCACCUUGCACUGCAGGAUCAAGCUGGCACAUUCAUACUCACUCACCUCUGACCUGCUAAGGAAGCGGCAGGGGUGGUGAGGGUGGAACACAAUUCAAAAUCACCUGGUCUUAUUUUGGGAGGUCAGAGAACAUGUGAGUCAAACUUUGAUUUUUCUUUGUUAUUACUCAGCUCUAAGUUUGGAGAGAAAAGUUUUACUUUUACACAAGGCCAAAGAAAGGACUGAAAUAGGCUUCAAAUUCCUUCCUAAUGCAAAGAGGGAGGGAUCUGCCGACUCAGCAUUUUCUUCCCAUUUCCCUGUAAAAGAAGACCCUGUGCUGAAGCAGUUAUUCCUGUGUAAACAAGCUGUCUUCUCAUCUGGGAGACAUUUACAUUUCGUGUUUUAGAUGCAAUCCCAGAGAAGAGGAGGCUGAGCUUUUAUAUGUGUGUAGAGAAGAGCUGGGGGAAGUGGCAGGGUAGGUGGCUGGAAGAGGAUGUUAACGCCUAAAACUCAACUCGACUGGUCCCUGAAGCUAUAAUCUUAAAUAGAGAAGACACUCUCAUGAUGACUGAGGAACCUCUUCCUCAUCCAUUCCUCAAAUGUACUCUGUAUGUGCUUUUUGGUUAGGUGGUGUUUUUAAUGCUGUUUAUGUACCAGAAGUAUGCCUGGGGACUCAGGAAUGAUCCAGGCAUUGUCCCUGACUCCAUAGAGUUUGAAAUUGUAGCACCUUAGGGAUUACAUAGCCCAACAUUUAUCCAACUAAACUCCAGAGAGCUAACUGGGGGCCUUUUUUUGGGUAGGAUAAUGCUCUAACCCAUCUUCAUCAUCCCUCCUCUUCCACACAGGUCCUUUAUCCUAUUAGGCCCUAUAAGACUUGCUCGGGAAAAUAAAGUUCAUGCUAAACAAGAAAUAAUGAAAGAACCAGAGUGCAUUCCCUUUAUUUUAUGUAAAGAAAAUUAGAUUCUUGAGCCUCAGAAGCGUCCAUGACAUCUUUGGUGGCAGCCUGGAGAGUCCAGCAGGUCUGCUGUCAGGUUGCCAUGCAGGUUCCACUCCGAGGUCAGUGGCUGCCUCCCCUCUGCCAUGUGCUUUCCAGGAUGGAGGAGCCUUUUCAUCUAGGGGGUAACAAAGGCUUGUGGGCAGGGGCUACUUAGCAUAAAAUCCCUCUGGAGAGAACCGGAGGUUGCACUCUUGCUGUGUUUGCUGAUUAGAGCUUUAGAGAUGGCCUGUUUUUUCACCAGAGAUUUUUGGUAUGUAAGAGGGUGUCUUAUUCCUGAUUGUCAGAAAUGUUUGGGAGCGCCUCUGUAGACUCUGAUAGUAUGUGUUGGCGCUAUGAAGGAAGUAAAUUCUUAUUACCAUAAAAGUCUAUUGAUUUCCCCCAAUUUAUACAAUUUUUUCUUGAACCAAGUUUUCUAGAUUCCAGCAAUGAUCAGAGCCAAUAGGAGAGUGGCAGCCAAAAUUACAGCAAAAACUGAUCCAGUAGAACGGGAAUGAGAAAAAAAGAUGUGUGAAGAGGUGGAUAAGCAAGAAAUCAGAACUUGCUUGAUCCGGUGCUGACACCCUGUUUGCAGAGAAUGAACAGGGAUCAAGACACACGCAAAGCCAGAUCCCUGCAGGGACCGGACAGCACACUGCUUUCCCACUGCUGUGGACACUGGGCUUACAACGGGGAAGCUCCGAGUAAGAGAGUGGGGACGUCUUGGUUUAUCUGGUUGGAGAACUGAAGUCAUGACUCCUGGACAUUCUCUAACCACGUCAGCCACUGCAGCCAGACCAUGCCAUUCCAACCCACUCCUUUGCAGGCAGCCAAGUGUCAAGGCUAAGCCCCCACUACCCAUUUAUAACAUUAACUGCUUUUCUCUUAGAAAACGUGCAAGUGUGACAGCCCUUCUUGUGUCUACUCUAGAAUCAAAAAGGUUAAUUCUGAACAUAAACAGCACAACCUAAGAUGUUACUUUAGUGGGAACCUGGGAGAAAGAGGAGGAGCUUGUGAUACAGUGAAGUAAGUACAGGACACUGAAAAGAGGAAGGAGAUGCUUCUCAUAGCGUCUGGGACACUGUCACUACCCAGUUAGCAUUUAUUAAUGAAUGCCGAGCUGGAGGGGUCAGUCAUCAACCAGCUACGUCUGGAGUAACUGGUCUUCAAUCUUAUAUUUGAACAUCUUAUUAAGUUUCUCUGAAGGAAGAAGUAACCCUGGUAUAUGUCCAGAGUCUAAGGUAUGGGUAGAGAGGUAGAGAAAUAUGAGAGGUUGAAAUCCAGUUGGUGUGGACACUUCUCACGUUGUUUCUGUUCUCCUUUAUGUGUAUACCCUAUUCAGAAACUUGGCAGAAAGGGAUGCGUGGAUAGUUUUUAAAAGGAGAAGUCACAGGAGCCAGCAUUGUGGUAUAGCAGGUAAAGCUGCUGCCCGUGACCCUGGUGUUCCAUAUUGCGCCAGUGUGUGUCCCUGUGAGCUCCCUGCUAAUGGCCUGGGGAAAGCAGUGGAGGAUGGCCCAAGUACCUGGGCCCCUGCACCCACAUGGAAAGAAACUUGUGGUUGCUGGCUUUGGCCUGUCCAGGUUCAGGCUGUUCAUCCAUCUGGGGAGUGAACCAGUGAAUGGAAGAUCUCUCUCUCUCUCUCUGUCUCUGUCUCUUCUCUCUCUGUAACUCUAAUUUUCAAAUAAAUAAAUCAAUCUUUAUUCAAAAAAUAAAUGAUUAAAACAUGAACACGCUGAGUAUGAUCAGACUGAAAUAAAUAAGCAGUAGCCAGAAUUUCAACACAAAGGAUAAAGAACUUGGUAUUGAAUGUUUGCCAUCUUCCCAAUGUAAACUUGCAACAAGCAAGAUCAAGUAAGAGUCUGAGUUUAACAGAAAAGAGGAUUUGAUUUGUAAUUCAAUCACUUUCCUGAGAACUAAUAAGGGAAGUCACAAAGGGUCAGAGGUGAGCUCCGUCCCUGGCCGCAAGGAGGCUACAGCUGAAGUGGAAGGAGAACAGCCAGGUCAUUUCUUUAAUUUGGCAAGGAGGGGCAGACUUCAGCGAUUGUAAACAAAACUGGAGAACCGUCACAUCUGGACACUGAUAUUUCCUGCCAGAAGUAAAAAUCUAGAAGGUUCACUGAUGCACUUCCUUUGAAACAGCUCUUUCCACUUCCACAGCAAGGAAGCAGCCUCGCUGGAGAUUUCCAAAGGAAGCUCUUUCAGCUUCCAGGGGUUUCAGUGUAAGAAAUAGUCUUAGGACUGCUCACCAACUGACUCAAUGUUCUUUCAGGGGCAGUGAGUAAGAGAUCUUGAGCAAUACGUUAGCACAUUCAAAAUUGGUGGCUGCACAGUCACAAGAAGCCAUAACUCACAGUGUCUCCUCCUUGAGGCCUUUCUCUUCAGGAAUUUGCCUCAGUUAAAUUCAGGAAGCGUUUUAUCUUACACCUGGAGCACCAGAAGAUGUGUUCUAUCUGCUCUUGGGAAACUUUCAGAGAGCCACUAUUGUUCCAAGAUUAGGGCCAGACCCAUUCGCACUCAUAAACUCAUGUUUGAUCUUUACAAAAGCCAUGUAAGUCAAGGAACCCCACUUAAUAGAAACAGAAACUUAGGUUAGAUAACUUGCUCAUGGUCAGAGAGUUGUUAUGUUACAGAAAUGGAAUUCAGAGUUAGGGUUUCUGGUUUAAAACCAAGGUCCCUACCAGUAGACUUUGUUACGUUUCAAUGUUAUAAAACUCUUGGUUUUAAAAAAAAGCAUUAUGAGAAACACAAAAUUUACUCAACUUUAGCUUUAGUUAUUGUCAUAAAGUUUGAUAAUGUGAAAUGAUUAUUGUUCAAGAAUUCUAAUUCAGCAAAACUACAAUUGGAGAGGUAAAAUAUUUCUCUGGAAAAAAUGCUUGUGUAUUCUUUGGCAAGUGUCAAAACAUCAUAGAAAAGGAGCCUUGAUCACUUUGCAGGAUUCCUGUAGAAUCAGAAUAUUCUGAGGGCUAUUUGCCAGUCAGUGUUAAACCACAGCAUCAUUGCAGAACCCAUGGAAACAAGUCAUGAGUAGUGAAUAACCAUUAAUAGGGAAUUUCUUUUUAGGUUUGCAAGAAUAUUUUCUCCAAUAGUGAGAGGUAACUGUAAAAAUGGAAGGAGGUGCCACAAAAGAUCAGUACAACCCCUAAACAAAAACAAUAAUAAAGAAAAUAGAUGUAUUAACCCACAGCUCUGCAACUUAAAACCUGCAACACUAAAGGCCAGUCAUGCCCAAUUUUCUGCAACAAAUAUUUUGAGCUAAAAAUCUAACCCCAUGUGUUUAAAAUACUGUGGUCAUAGAAAGAGAUUUAUAUGUAUAAAUUCC